rnacentral:rRNA from 1 species
UACGUAGGGGGCAGGCGUUAUCCGGAUUUACUGGGUGUAAAGGGAGCGUAGACGGCGAUGCAAGUCUGAAGUGAAAGGCGGGGGCCCAGCCCCCGGACUGCUUUGGAAACUGUAUGGCUGGAGUGCAGGAGAGGUAAGUGGAAUUCCUAGUGUAGCGGUGAAAUGCGUAGAUAUUAGGAGGAACACCAGUGGCGAAGGCGGCUUACUGGACUGUAACUGACGUUGAGGCUCGAAAGCGUGGGGAGCAAACAGG